CUGGCCUACGGGAGGCAGCAGUAGGGAAUAUUGCUCAAUGGGGGAAACCCUGAAGCAGCAACGCCGCGUGGAGGAUGAAGGUUGUCGGAUUGUAAACUCCGUUUGUUAAAGAAGAUAAUGACGGUAUCUAACGAAUAAGCACCGGCUAACUCCGUGCCAGCAGCCGCGGUAAUACGGAGGGUGCAAGCGUUACUCGGAAUCACUGGGCGUAAAGAGCGCGUAGGCGGGAUAGCAAGUCAGAUGCGAAAUCCUAUGGCUUAACCCUAGAACUGCAUUUGAAACUGUUAUUCUAGAGU
rnacentral:rRNA from 1 species